rnacentral:rRNA from 1 species
GAGUGAACGCUGGCGGUAGGCCUAACACAUGCAAGUCGAACGGCAGCACAGUAAGAGCUUGCUCUUACGGGUGGCGAGUGGCGGACGGGUGAGGAAUACAUCGGAAUCUACUUUUUCGUGGGGGAUAACGUAGGGAAACUUACGCUAAUACCGCAUACGACCUACGGGUGAAAGCAGGGGAUCUUCGGACCUUGCGCGAUUGAAUGAGCCGAUGUCGGAUUAGCUAGUUGGCGGGUAAAGGCCCACCAAGGCGACGAUCCGUAGCUGGUCUGAGAGGAUGAUCAGCCACACUGGAACUGAGACACGGUCCAGACUCCUACGGGAGGCAGCAGUGGGGAAUAUUGGACAAUGGGCGCAAGCCUGAUCCAGCCAUACCGCGUGGGUGAAGAAGGCCUUCGGGUUGUAAAGCCCUUUUGUUGGGAAAGAAAAGCAGCAGGUUAAUACCCCGCUGUUCUGACGGUACCCAAAGAAUAAGCACCGGCUAACUUCGUG